UCAGCUUUCCACUGAAAAUGCCGCAAUUUCUCGGAAUAGAAUGGGUGGAUCUAUUCUCAUCAAUUCAACGUAAAAAGACAUACUUGGGAGUUGUCUAUCACUUUAUGCUCACUUACCCACUUGCACUUUUCGUCACCAUUUUGCCAUUUUUCUUGGUAAGUUCAGGAAAUUUCAGAGCCAAAAAAACUUGUUACUGUAUUUUUUUUUAGCUUUUCACUUUCCAAUGGCACAUUUUGGCUCUCUACGCUUGCUGGUACUUCUACGAUAUGGAUUCUCCGAGGAGAGGUGGAUAUUCCAGUGAUUGGGUCAGAAAG
rnacentral:sRNA from 1 species